rnacentral:tRNA from 1 species
UCUAAUAUGGCAGAUUAGUGCAAUAGAUUUAAGAUCCAUACAUAAAGCUUAGCUUUUUUUAGAA